AUGAAACCACAAAUACUUUGUUUUCAGUUUUCUGGCUAUGACAAUAGAAGACUUUGUAUGGAUAUGGCAUCGUAUGACAUGCCACCAUCUUUGGAACUGGUAUUUCCUUAGGCUCUUCAAGUAUAGUGUAAUUAUCCAAAAGAGUACUUAAUUUUGUGAGAUGGGUAGUGCUUAUAACCUUGAAUUGGGUCUCUAAUCCAAAGGUUUCACGUGCGAAAUCUAGCAUGGAUUCUAAUGAAGUAGCACAGAUUUUAGUCUCGCCAUUGAUGGGUUUGAUCUCACAUUCUCUCAGGGUAUGUUCCAUGGCUUUGGCUUGUGGUGAGCUUGGAGAGAAAGAGAAGAAGCGAAGGAGAUAAGGAAGAUCUUGGGAUGAGAAGGGAAUGGAAUUUGCU
rnacentral:lncRNA from 1 species